GCACGACCGGGAACGGGUGCAGGAUCCGC
rnacentral:sRNA from 1 species